GUCCCUGUAGCGCAAUGGAUUGCGCGCGCGUGCUGGACUUCUAAUCCAAAGGUUGUGGCCUCGAAUACCACCUGUGAGUACA